GGAGAUCACGAAUAUCUGGUUUAUUUGGUCGACAGAUCAAUGGUUAAGGCGCUAUCGCUUACUUCCGGUAUACUUCCGGGAAAUUUGCAUGAAACUAGCAAGUGAGCUUUGUUCUUUGAACUGUUCUCAAGAUUUCAAGCUAGGUUUAAGCAAAUAAAAGGGCACUGUUCAAGUUAUAUCAGUAUCUAAAGAACUGAAUUGCUUAGAGUUACAUGGCAGAUCCCGUACGAUGACCAGUGCGGUAAAAACAUUUUCGACACUCUAUAUAUGUAUUAUUUUGAAUGCAAAGCGAUAAUGAUUUUUAAGAUCUACAAUAUCACUAUAAUUUAAAAAUUUAAUGUUGCGUCAGAAAUGAAAUUACGGGCUUUUCCAAGUUUCAGAGGUGUCCAAUAGAUGGCACGAGUCCUCAUUUUUCAUGUGAUGGCGGAUUGUGAUGGCGAAUUGUCAAAAAUUUUCCUAUUUUUCCACGAAAACUACCGAUAAUUCAUAGGAAGGAAUGCGAAAGAAAACAGUGGCCUACAAGAAGUCCACCAUCAACUCUUUCAUAAAAAAUCGUCAUUCUGCUGAAUGCAUCAUCCUAUUACUACAGUAACCCAGCGGCCAGCGUGGACAUACAUUGUUUUUUCCGAACAUGUUUUUCAACAAAAAAAAGCAUUUACAGACAA